rnacentral:snRNA from 1 species
CGAUAGGAUCUGGCGGCGACAUCUGUCACCACAUGGAUCGCCAGGGUUGAUUUGGCUGAUCUGGCUGGCUAGGCAGGUGUCCCCGUCCUCCCUCACCGCUCCAUGUGCGUCCCUCCUGAGCUGCACACUCUGUUGAAGAGGAAGACCUUCUCCGAUAGAGGAGGACCGGUCCUCGGUCAAGGGUAUACGAGUAGCUGUGUUUCCCUGCUAGAACCUCCAAAUAAGCUCUCAAGAAUAAAACAAUAAAAAUCAGUUUAAAAUGAUAAAAAAAGUCACAUAUGCAAUUUCGAAAAUGAAUUGCAAUUCAGCUUUAUUU